GUUUGGCUAGUCAAAUGUACACUAAACUUGGAGCAGAACAGAGAAGAUUAACACAGCUAAUGUGCAAGGAUGGGUCAUACAUUGAUGAGUCAUUCCAUAUUUGU
rnacentral:snRNA from 1 species